rnacentral:rRNA from 1 species
UACGGGGGGAGCAAGCGUUGUUCGGAUUUACUGGGCGUAAAGGGCGCGUAGGCGGCGCGGUAAGUCACUUGUGAAAUCUCUGAGCUUAACUCAGAACGGCCAAGUGAUACUGCAGUGCUAGAGUGCAGAAGGGGCAAUCGGAAUUCUUGGUGUAGCGGUGAAAUGCGUAGAUAUCAAGAGGAACACCUGAGGUGAAGACGGUUCUCUGGGACGGUACUGACGCUGAGACGCGAAAGCGUGGGGAGCGAACAGG